rnacentral:misc_RNA from 1 species
UGUACACACCGCCCGUCACACCAUGGAAGUUAGCCACGCCCGAAGUCGUUACUCCAACCCUUGUGGAGGAGGACGCCGAAGGUGGGGCUGAUGACUGGGGUGAAGUCGUAACAAGGUAGCCGUACCGGAAGGUGCGGCUGGAUCACCUCCUAACAGGGAGACAAACUGAUAUUGCUGUCUGAAGCAUUUGUCUUUAGGCCGAUAUCCUGUCAUCUCGAAGGUCGAUCGGUACCUCAAGGGAAGCCAUCCAAUGACCAUCAAGUCAAAAGCACAUUGUGUGGAUGAUGAGAUGGGCAGGGGGAUGAUCUUUCUUUCAGUUUCUCAACUUCUGUCUAGGUCACCCCAUUUGUCUCAGGACGCUCCUGGGCCAUUAGCUCAGGUGGUUAGAGCGCACCCCUGAUAAGGGUGAGGUCCCUGGUUCAAGUCCAGGAUGGCCCAUUCGUGUUUGGGGGUUUAGCUCAGUUGGUAGAGCGCCUGCUUUGCAAGCAGGAUGUCAGCGGUUCGAGUCCGCUAACCUCCAUCCAACACGAUGCUCCAAACCUCUGGAUCACAGGAGUGAAUCAACGGGAGACCUAGGAAUUCAAAGGUUGAAACUGGUGAACAAUCAGUUGAAAAAAUGAGUUCAGCAUCCUUUCAUUCCUGCAGCUCCUAGAUGAGCCAAGGCUGAAACGACGCUGGAUUCAGCAGGGAUGCACAUGAAAGAUGUGGGUCUCUGAUGAUUUCAGUAGAACCUUGACAACUGCAUAGGUGAAGUCUGGAAAGAAAGCAUCUCAUGGAUGUCCAAUGGUGAGAAUCAUUGGAAAAAUUCUUGAGUUUUAAGAGCCGAGUUUGUAAUGGUCAAGCUACAAAGGGCUCACGGUGGAUACCUAGGCACACAGAGA